UCCCUGUCUUUCCUACCCCCUCCCUCUGUAUGUCAUUGAGGAUUAGCAGCUGGGGCCAGGCCAGGCCAGCGCAGCAGCGCCCGGGAAUCCGCUGUGCACGGCCGCGCGCAGAGGCCGGGAGGCCAAAAAUCAGGGAGGAGGGGACGGGUCUUGGGUUAUUUUCCUCGGCUAAUGAGCCUCCCACCCCCUCUCUAGCCUGGGCGGGGAGAAGGCGAAGAACCGUCCCCCGGGCCUCUGCGGGCGCGAGGACUUCCUGGAGCGAAGCCGGCCGCCCGGGGAGCCUGCACCUGCUGGGAGGAGCGGCGGGGCACCAUGAAGGAUCGGCUGGAGCAGCUCAAAGCCAAGCAGGACCAGGAUGACGAUGCCGACGAUGUGGAGAUCGCUAUCGAGAACGCGGGGUUCAUGGACGAGUUCUUCUCCGAGAUUGAAGAAACCCGACAAAAUAUUGAGAAAAUUGCAGAGAAUGUGGAGGGGGCGAAAAAGCUGUACAGUAUCAUCCUGUCCGCCCCCAUCCCUGAGCAAAAGACGAAAGACGACCUGGAGCAGCUCACGGCAGAGAUCAAGAAAAUAGCCAACAGCAUCCGAAACAAGCUUAAGAGCAUGGAGCGGAGCAUCGAGCAGGAUGAGGUCCAGUCGUCGGCGGAUCUGCGGAUACGGAAAUCCCAGCAUUCUGUUCUCUCCCGGAAGUUUGUUGAUGUGAUGACCAAGUACAACGAGGCACAGGUCGACUUCCGGGAACGUAGCAAAGGGCGGAUCCAGCGGCAGCUCGAGAUCACUGGGAAGAAUACGACGGAUGAGGAGCUGGAGGAGAUGCUAGAGAGUGGAAACCCCUCAAUAUUCACAUCUGGGAUCAUGGAUUCACAGAUUUCGAAGCAGGCGCUGAGCGAGAUCGAGGGGCGGCACAAGGACAUCGUGCGGCUCGAGAGCAGCAUCAAGGAACUUCACGACAUGUUCGUGGACAUCGCCAUGCUGGUGGAAAACCAGGGCGGGGUCCUAGAUAACAUAGAGCUGAACAUGAUGCAUACGGUAGACCACGUAGAGAGAGCGCGCGAUGAGACCAAAAAGGCUCUGGUAUACAAGAAAAAGGCUCACAAGAAAAUGAUAAUUAUCAUUGUGGUAGUGGUUGUCUUGCUCGGAAUAAUAGCUCUGAUUAUUGGACUUUCCGUAGGGCUCAAGUAAAGCUAGCCCCCUGAACUGUAAGUAGUGUGGGGAAUGUGGGGGUUUCCUGGGGCGCUGGCUCGGUGGGGCGGCAGUCGAGAAAAGGUGGUGGAGUGACUUGAACUUGCUUGCUUGCCCAGGAGAGUUCAGAAGCUCUCUGAGCUAGGUGUGUAUUGGUGGGUGCCUUGGAUAUCGGGUGGGUUUUGCUCCUCAUACCUGGAGACUACAGGAGAUCAACCCUGCAUUGGGCCAGAAAUAAAAUGUAUUCUCACUUGUCAGUUGGAUCUAUCCUGAGUGUUGUAUUCACAACCUUGUCUGUACAUUGGGUUCUGUGCUCUGGGUUCUUGCCGCUGGCUUUGGGUUCUAGACUCUAGACACUGUGCUUUGCGUUCUGGGCUAUGUGGGUUCUGUGCUGUGAGCUCUUGGUUAUGGUUUUGGGUUCUAGACUGGCUUCUGUGCUUUUGGUUCUGGCUUCGGGUUCUAGACUAUGUGGUGUACUUUGGGUUCUAGCCUCUGGGCUCUGUGCUUUGGGCUGUAGAUUCUUGGCUCUAGCUUUGGGCUCUGUGCUUUGCAGCUGAGCUUUGCAUUCAAUCUCUUACAUUUUUAACUCUUGCCUCGGCACUGAGGAUGUGGCAGGCAAGAGGGUGUUUGCAGAAGAGGAGACGGUGUAAGGAGCAUGACUUGGGAAGCGGGUGGCAUGAUUUCUCAAGAUUCUAGAGUGGGGAGGAUAGUUCUGUGGAUGCGGCGCAAGUGAAGGCAGCUGCUAGAGUCUGCUGCAAAGCAGGUGCAUGUGCUGUUCUUACAGGGCUCACUCACACCUCUCUGCAGACUCAGAGUGUGCAGGGUAGGCUGCUGUGCACAAAGGGAUCUGAAGGGUUAAUUCUGGUCUGCUCUCCAUUCCUUGCCUUGUGGGGGAGGGCGGGAGAGGGGUGAUUCCACCCCUAUGAGUCACUAAAACCAGACCCCCCUCAGAUUGUGCAGAUAAUCAAAAUAGGGGUGUGAUGUUGCUUGGCCCUUCCUGGGGUGGGAGGUUUGAAUGUCCCCCCGGGCUUGCCCAAGGAGCUUGGGCUAAUUGUCGGGAGGAGGGAAAUGUGGCAUUUACCAAACACCACCCACCUGUGACACCAAAAUCAGGGAACUGUGCCAGUCUGUGACCCUCCCUCCCCAUUCUCCGAUGAGCCAUGACACACACACAGCUAACAAAACAGCCAUUUAAUUGACCUUCACGAGCGGGGCAGUUCACACUUCUGUGAGUUGUUCCAGGCUCCCUCCGCUCACUUACACUUGGGUCACAGCUUUGCAAUUUCUUUUACAAGCAGAACAGCUAGAGACUCGCUUUUUAUUUUAAAUGAAAGCUGAGACUCUGGGGAGCAAGAUAGUGGUUUUGGAGACCUCAUCAUGCAGGAUAUGGGUGCAUAUGCUGGCUGUUUCUGAGCCCCACAGUGGGGUCAUCGGCCCAUCUGCAGAGAUCGUUUCCCCAUCUCUAGCUGUCUGGGCCCAGGAUCUGUUAGUGUUUAGAUGUCAGUGAUUAUGUUUAAUAUUGGCCUGCCCUCACAUACGUAAAUUGAUUUCUCCCUUGUUCCUUCAGUUUCUCCAGACACUCCUGAUCUUGGUGGUGAACUUUUUCCCUCGUGAUCCUCCUCGUGUCCCACACGCCGGCCUCCCGCUCCCCCUGCCUUCCCUGGACCUGCUAAUCACAGUCUGCCUUCUGGGCUCUGCUGUGAAUCAUUUCCCUUUCGGGUGGAGCUUUUCCCAAUAGCACUUCCUGGGAGAGCUGCCGGCCCAUUCAUCAGCUAGCUGACGCAUCCCUCCUGGAGGAUCUGAGCUUGCUUCACCAUGUCCAGGAGGUAACUGUCUCCUGCACCACUGAUGCACUUGAGAGAAGCCGUCAUCAAGUCUUCCUCUUCUCCCCUCCUCUCCGAGUCCACAACCACCAACCCCAGUUCCUCCUCCUGAUGUCACUUCCUCUUUUGGUCAAAUUUCGUUUCCUGGCAGGAUUCCCACCAAUGGUAGCAGAGCCUUAAAGGAAUGUCCAGGACUGUGUUUCCUACCUCACUGGCCUGUCUUGUUCUCAUCUUUCUUAGGGGGAAUUUUUUUAAUUGUUUAAAAUCUUUAUUGAGGGAGGCCAGGGAAUGUAAGAACUACCCCUCUGAAUUGCUGCAGCCAGGACAGGGAGUGAGAGAUCAGGGCUCAGGAGCUCACCUGGGUUGGCCAUGUGGCAUAAUUGAGGCUGGACUCUGAAGUGCUCCCAGAACCUGCCAACCCUAAGGAGAGUGAGCAGCUGGGCCUGAUCUUGAAUCUCCUGUGUAGCAAUGCUCUAAACCUAUAGCACCGGAAUCCGCAGCACUCCCAAGCCAUGUUGACACCAGGAUUAACAAGGGACAUAGGUCAAACCAGCAGGCACAGACUUGGCAGCAUCCUGAACUUUGCCAACCUCAGAAUUAGGGACGGGAUGUGGAAGCAAAGCAGAGCAGAACAUGCGGGCACUGACCUCAGUGCACUGUGGGGGACGGGUGACAGGGCUGGGACUGAAACGCGGGUCUGCGACAGAGCGCCGGGAUGCACGAGCACUCUGAGCUCUGUGCAGAGUAAGAGCCCAGUGGAACAUGGGCACUUCUCUUGUUAAUCCCUUCCUGAGAGGCAGGUGCCUGUGUACGGAAGGAGGGACCUGCAAGCUCUGUCUCCUGUGAUCCCUGUUUGCUAAGGACUGGGAGGAAUCUAAACCUCUGUUUGCUUUGAAGUGUGAACCUUUACGACUGGAGUUUCCACCUACUUGUUUGUUCUAAGCAGCAAAAAUAAUCAGGUUGGCUUCUGGCACGCAACUGAAAGCCCAGGCUCUGAUACUCCCUGUGUUUGGUUUGCAUGGCCGGGGGCUCUUGGAAACUUUUAGGUUGAGUGACAUAUUCUGUUAAAUGGUGAUCAGUGACUCCUGGACCGUGAAUCUUAGCACUGACCUUGUCUGAUCCUUGCUGGGGGGUUCUCCUUUGGUUGUGGGACCAGCUGCCCACCCCUGCUGGGGAUAUAAUUUUUGUGUGUGUGUGUGUGUGUCUCCGCAUGUAUGUUUAAUGGUCUGUUUACUCAGGGCUUGCAUUUCAUGGAUGUUUUAAAUGUGCCUGGAUCAGGAGUCCUUGUGUGUAUUUAUUAUUCUUACCAGCCAGUCCCUGAUUUCUGUGACAGAUGCAGACAUUCAGGGUGGCCUGUUUUUACCGGUGUGAUGUGGGUUUGGGUGUGAUCCAGCUGAGUUGGGCAUGGCCAACAGCUGUAGCUAUAUGACAGCCAUUUCGUGGCCUCAGUGGGAAACAGGGAUUAGCAUCUUGGGCCCCGUUUCCAGUGGACAGAUUUCUGGAUUGCAGAAAUGCCAUCACAUCAGUCGGGCUCCCUGCUUGGAAGCCUCAGUAGAGAAGCUAAGAACUGAAUCAGUGGUGGUCUUCCCAGGGCAGAGCGGUGAGGGAAACCUACCCAUGCUGUGCCUGCUCUGAGGAUAAACAGAGGCCCAAGGGCUAUACUAAAUCCACUUGACAAACGUCCUCUCCCAUUGUUGAAGGAUAAGGGGUGACAGCCCUUGUUAAUUGGGAUGGGGGAUUCUCGUUCGUGAAGGGAGCCAAACUCCUUGCCCAGCAGCAUCUGGCUGGUCCAGGUGCACACCUCCACCCCCACCAUCCUUCCUGGUGUGCUAGGGGCUGCACAUCUCUCUCAGAUCCACUCACCAGCUUGAUGCCCCAUGACUCACUCUCCUGAUGUAAGACUGCACUUGGCCAGUACCCCUUGGUGAACGGACGGAGCUGGGAGGAAGUUCCCAUUUGUCUUCCUCUUCUCUAGGUCUUGAUGUCUGUGAUUUUUCGAGGUGAUGGGUAUGGAGCAUGCUGCCCGGGCAAGGUUGCCAUUGCAGCUCUGAGAUGCCCCUGAAACUCCCCAGAGCUCUGUAGACAGGGGAAAUGUCAUUGUCUCACCAAGUGAGGGUACUGGCGCGCGCGCGUGUGUGUUUUUAAACUUUGAUUUUUUUAAUUUAAAAAAGUAAAUAAAUGAAUUUAUAUUUGAUCACAAACAGCUCUCGCCUGUGUUGUGUUGUUCCCUGCAUGAGCUGUCAUAGCCUGAAUACAACAUCCAGCUAUGGCUACACUAGCUGUUCUUGAUUGGUUCAAGGCUGGGAGGCAGGGGUGCUGUCUCCUUGGCCUGCGUCCCUCAUGGUAGAGAGAGACCGGACUUGGCUGAAAUGAAUGGUAGUAAUAACUUGUAACUAGCUCUGAUCCUCUGUAGGUCUCAAAAUGAGGUUGGUAUCACAACCCACAUUUUACAGAUGGGGAAAUUGAGGCACGGACAGGGGAAGUGACUUGCCCAAGGUCACCCAGUGGCUGAGCCUGGAAUAGAGCCCAGGGCUCCUGAGUCCCAGUCCAGUGCUCUAGCCACUAGGCCACCCUCCUCCCAGUGUAAAGGAGACUUUAUUAGCAGGGCUGCCAGACACAAACUGAUGCUGUGGUUCUCUCUGGCUCACCAGCUCCCAGCCUGAGUAAUGCAGCCUGUGCUGCCCAAUGCACUGCACAGGGGCCAAGUCCCGGCCUGGAAGAGACUGCUCCAUGCAAACAUUGGGAUACACCGGUUCAGAAUGCUCCUGGCUGGAAUCUGUCACUCUGCUCGGCCUUAGCCCUGCCCCAAUUAUCCAACCCACAGCAAGAGUCAAGGCUGAGUAAAGCAACCGAUGGGGAAAGGCGGUAGAUACAGUGAUAGCACCAUGUAGAAUUAAAUAGCCCCACGACAGCAGCACUGCCUUGGGGAUGAGACUGGGACUUUGAGCCUCCAGUGCUGGGCUGAGAACUGCUUUCACUUGACUCACUGACAUGUAAAGAGACAGCUCCUCUUUCAGAAUAGCAGCAGUGACCAGGUUUGGCUGCAAAGGAAGGAGCUUUGUUUAUAAUCGUCAUGCCACCUGGCUCUGCUGAUGAACCUUGGGGAGGUGAAAGGGUGAGAGAACCCCACCCACCCAGGCUGGCCUGUUGUUUCAAGUCUCCAGACGGGCCUCUCCUCUCCACUUCACCCACCUGGAUCAGAAAACUUGGCUGGGGUUUCUCCUCUUCUGCUGUGCCGUAUCCAGUGCCUCUGGUAAGAUGAGAUAAUGGGUGUUGUCUUUUUCCUUGGGGGCAUGACAUUCUGCAUGGCUGUAUGCGUGGGGCAGGCUAGCUCCUAUUUAUCUAGCUAUUCACGUGGCCCCAUAAUGAUAACGUCUGAGCACGUGGCUGGGGCUUGCUUUUUCUGCAUGGCACGUGAGUUGAGGGGAAGCGAAAUGAGCUCAUUAAGCGAUCAUUUCCCAUCAAGGCCACCAGCACCAAGGAUAAAACAUUUUUCUGUCCUCUGUGAAAGAAAAGCCCUACUCCCUCCCUCCACAUCUCCGUUCUACUACCCAUGGAUCCCUUUCCUCUUUUCCAGCCCAAAGCGAUGGACCCCCCUUCCUCUGCUCUUUGUGACACAUGGAGGAUGGGUGACCCUUCCCUCUCCUCUUCCCUCACUUCCAUUUAUAGUUCACUGUAAGCCCGCUGCACACGCUGUUUGUUGUUUACAUUUCUCUCUCUCGCCGAGCAGAAGAAGAUCAUGAUCAUGAUCUGUUGCAUCAUCCUGGCCAUCAUCCUGGCUUCCACCAUUGGGGGCAUCUUCGCCUGAGUGCCCAUCUCCUGCCCCCCGCCCACCACAGAUGGAUUUGCAGAUGGCCUUUCAUCGUUCUUCCACUCCGCACCCUGGUGCCACCCGUCAAAUGUUCUUUCCCAUCUGGAUUUCUCACCAGCUCUACCUCCUCCUCUUUAUGGAGACAUCACAGGCCUGGCCAGUGGACCCUACCUGUCAGAUGUUCACCGUUCAGUGUUCCUGGUUGGAGGGGCGGAGGAAGCUGGAAUAGAACAGGGAGGAUGGGCUGCAGACAGAACCAAAUAAGACACUAUGGGGAUGAUGCUAGCUGACACUAAUGUAAACAUUUUCAGACACCAUGUUUAUUGGCUGUUUAAAGUGCUUCUAAAUAUCAACCUUUUAGUUCAGCUCUGUUCUCAGUCCCAGUGGCUCCUUCUGCCCACUUGUGGGUGGAGACUGACUAGCCAGCAGAGGACAUCCAUUCAAUGGAAUGUGUAUGCUCAGCACAAACUUACUGAAGGGCAGGGAAUGGCACAGUCCUGCCUAUGUUGCUCUGGGAGGCUCAAAUCUCCUCCUUGGUGGACAGGGAUUAAAGACAGCAUCUGACAUUGUAACUGUCAGUACAUCAGAAGCGUGAUCAGGCACUGAACUGUCAGAACAUCUUUCCCCAGCUGAGCAAUAUAACACUUUUCACUCUCUCCAAUCCUUGUGACUCCCCAUUUCUCUGGCUCUGAGGGUGGGAAUCAGACCACGCUUGACCUGAAUCACUGAUACUUAGAAGGUGGUAAGGCCCUUUACUCCCUCAGCUAGGGUCUCUUAGGCACAAAACAGACUGUAUUCCCUUGUUUAUCUGUGGGAUGGUCUCAUUUACCCUACAGAAAAAUCUUUCACCUGAAAGUUUGUCACUUAUUUUAAACCCCCAAACUGUGGCAACUUGAGUGUAUUUAUUUCUUUUCCCCCUCUCCUCCGAUAAAUCAUCUCUGCAGUAGGGAGGAGCAACUUGGACACUGUCACUCUGUACCUCUCCUGAUGCUUCUGUUCCUUUGGGUCCUUCCUUGUCUAUCCAUAUGAGGAAAGUUCUAAGGUUGCUUUCCCCUACAUUACUUGUACAUGAGGCAAUCACUAGUGAAAGGCUCUUCAGAGAGAGGGAGACCUCCAUGAAAUCUAAUAAUCCCUCUGCAGUUACACAGAGGGCAAAUGACAUGUUCCCCUCCAGGGUCAGAUGUGAGUGGAGCAGAGGACUCUGCCUCACUCAGUGCUUAAGGAGACACCACUCACUCUGAAUUUAUAUCAGCUGUUAUCUGUAUAGGUACUGUUCUAAAGGCACAAUCAUCUAUACAGAAGCCUCUUUCUGAAUAAAGACUUCAAUUCAGUGA